UCACACUUCACGACUUCACACUUCAUUCUAAGCCGUGAAGUCAGAAUUCCGAGUCAUGAAGUCAGAGUUUCGAGCCGUGAAGUCAGAGUUCCGAGCCGUGAAGUCAGGAUUCCAAGUCAUGAAGUCAGAGUUCCAGGCCGUGAAGUCAGAGUUCUGAGACGUGAAGUCACAAUUUUGAGUUAUGAAGUCAGAGUUCUGAGUUCUGAUUCAAAUUAUUUGAGAGUCAAUUUGAAAUUCUGUGACAUGAAGUCAAAAUACUGCGAUAUUUUACUUGUAAAUUAUGCUGUUAGUUUAAUGGUAGGGCUUGCCUAUAAUUUAAUCUAAUUAUCAGAUGUUUGUAAUAUUUAUUUAUAGCAUUUUCAUACAGAUGACACAUUGGUGAACAUAUUUUUCAGACAUUUCAAUAUCCAGAGAUCCAGAGAUUUGGUUACCUUUUCAAAAGAGCAUCCUGUACAGCCAUGUUUGAAAACAUUUCCCAGAACUCAGCAUGGUACAAGGAAAAGAGCUCAUGGUAUAAGGACAAUUCAUGGCUUGAAUAUUCUGCAAGGCAAGAUUCAUAACAAGGGUCAUUUUUUUUUACAAUCUUAGAAGAAAUAGCAAAGCAAUAACCCCUCAUAGAAAAAAAGGUGAUGAAUGCCUGUGGCAAUGCUAAGUAUUCAAGCCACCAAAUCCAGAAUGAAAUUCUUGAGGUCUUGGCUGGAAUGGUACAAAGAAAAGAGAAGAGCUGUCUUUAGACUUGAGUUAUUGCUACAAUGGGGCCAUCCAUGAAAGCGUUUUACACUUUCAGUCAGUUGAAAGCUUAGACGCAUCAGGUCUCAAAAAUGAUAAUUGAUUGCUUGGAAAAACAUGGACUGGCCUACAGAAAUAAUCUUGUGGGGCAAGGAUAUGAUGGUGCAUCCGUCAUGAGCGGAAAUCAUUCGGGUGUGUCUGCACGGAUAAAAAACAAUGCAAGAUUUGCAUUGUAUAUGCACUGUAAUGCAUGUUGUUUGAAUUUGGUUCUUGUUGAUAUGGUAAAAUCAGUGCCUGAUGGAGUUAACAUUUUUGCUUCCUUGCAGAAACUUUAACUUUGUAUUUUGCUUGUUUGUUCAUCUCCACUGGUUUGCAGUUUAGAAAGAGCUGUCCAGAGGAGCAGCCCAUGGAACUGCAGAGACUUACAGAUGUAAGGUGGGCAUGCAGAUACAUGUUAAGCCAUAAUCUGAGAGACAGGCUCCCAGUGGUGCUGAGUGCUACAGGGUGUAGCACUUGAAAAUAGUGGCGAUAGAUCAGUGGAGAGGACCUCCAACAAUAAGUCAUCAAACUAAGCGACUAAGCGGAAAAGUGGAAGGGAUGGACCAUCUACUCUCCUUGAAUUUAUUGUUUGUAGAACCUUAUAAACAAGUGUUCCAUGAGCGCUUUAAGUUUUGUAAGAUUCAGCGCUACUUCUUGUGAGAAAAGAUUCUCUGCUUUAAAGCUGAUUAAAACAAACCUCAGAACUACAAUGGCUGACACCUGGGAAUUCUUAGUGUUGAGUCAAGUAGGGCCCGGUCCUUCAACAUGAAUGAGUUUUUGAAACCUUUGACCAGACUUAUGUUGUUUUACAUCUACUUUACCUAGAAUUUGUAAUGUACACUAUGUCUAUGUUUGUGAAUUGUUGGACACCAAAAUUAUAUUUUGUAUUUUUCCAAGUCGAUUUCUCCAACUUCUCAUUAAUAUUUGAUGUUUAAUUGCAGUGUUGUUUUGUUUUUUUUUGUAAAUGUAUAUUUUAUUAAACUGUGCAAUUUCUGUAA